rnacentral:misc_RNA from 1 species
GAUGAAGAACGUAGCGAAAUGCGAUAAGUAAUGUGAAUUGCAGAAUUCAGUGAAUCAUCGAAUCUUUGAACGCACAUUGCGCCCGCCAGUAUUCUGGCGGGCAUGCCUGUCUGAGCGUCAUUUCAACCCUCAUGCCCCUAGGGCGUGGUGUUGGGGAUCGGCCAAAGCCCGCGAGGGACGGCCGGCCCCUAAAUCUAGUGGCGGACCCGUCGUGGCCUCCUCUGCGAAGUAGUGAUAUUCCGCAUCGGAGAGCGACGAGCCCCUGCCGUUAAACCCCCAACUUUCCAAGGUUGACCUCAGAUCAGGUAGGAAUACCCGCCGAACUUAAGCAUAUCAAUAAGCGGAGGA